CAGAUCGUAUCAUCACUGAAACGGGAAACAGAGUUGAUCUAUUUAUCAUUCUGAUUAUUGUCUGACAAAAUGUUGAACUAAUUAGGUGGUAAUUAUAUCAUCAAAAAACUAUUAACAUUUCCACAGCCACUAGUCAUUUAAAUAGUGCGUAGUACUAUCCUGUCGUGUAAUAGACAAGUUGGUGGAUUUCUGGACUCUAGUUUUAUACGGAUAUAACAACCGAUUCUCGCUAAAUAAAUAUGGUUGCCAGACUGCUAUUAUUGUUGUUAUUGGUGACUGUUGCUAUAGAUGUUGGAAUUUGCUAUGACGAUGAUCACCUGUUGGAACGAAGGGGUAGGUGUGUCAGUUCAUUCUGUAAGAAGAAUGGUCCACCAUGUUGUGGUAGAAGGCACUGUUAUUGUUUUGGAGGUAGAAGAUCCUGUAAAACUGGUGUAUGUAAAGCCAGGAGGAGUCAUUGAAGACAUUUUGCACAAGAAGUAAUUAAAUGUGGUGAUUCGUUAGAAUUGAUUGUAAUAAAUAUACUAGUAUAUCAAAU